ensembl:lncRNA
GGGGGGUUCGUUCAGGUUAAGGCGGUGGGGGGGUUCGUUCAGGUUAAGGCAGUGGGGGGGUAUAAAGUGGGGCAUGAGGCACUCCCUCACAUGCAAGAUCAACUAGAGAACCUGGAAUUGUGUUUUCACUUGCAUCUGAAAGUAGCCCUAUGUUCUGUUGUCGCUACAGUUAUAUGGCUUUUCUUUGCUUCUGUUCAAGAGUUUCGUUUUGGUAUCGAUAUGGAGGAGUGCAGGAAGGUGAGGGUUCUGUUCCACGUGAACAUGAAGACGGGCUGUGGACACCAUGGACCAGGUGACACGUCCAAGGACCAGGUGACACGUCCAAGGACCAGGUGACACGUCCAAGGACCAGGUGACACGUCCAAGGCCCAGGGACACGUCCAAGGACCAGGUGACACGUCCAAGGACCAGGUGACAGGUCCAAGGACAAGGUGACACGUCCAAGGACCAGGUGACACGUCCAAGGACCAGGUGACAGGUCCAAGGACCUGCUGACAGGUCGAUGGUGUUCUGCGGCACCAAACAGCGGCGGGCGGCUCCAGGUCCAGCAUGAUAGCAAACAGGAACUCCAGCAAUAAAUUGGAUAUUCACUCAUACGUACAAGAUGCAAUAAUACACAAGUCAUUUGUUAAAAAUAAGCUCCAAGGGUUAAAUGGGUAAAAGGCUAUUGUAUUAAUUUAUAUAAUGUGUCAAAGUCACUUGAGAAUGAAUUCAACAAUCAGAAUUCAAAUGAAGAGGAAUAACCCUAAAACAAAAAGAUACAACAAAAAUAUAGAAUGAGAAAAGAAAUAUAUAUAUAUAUAAAAAAACGGAUUAUAUAUAUAUAUAUAUAUAUAUAUAUAUAUAUAUAUAUAUAUAUAUAUAAAGAUUAGAUAAAAUGUCUGAUAGAAAUCUACAAACCCCAGACAGUGGAAAUAUUAAUUUCCACCUGAAAUAGACAUAAGGGCCCAGGCUUAUUAAAGGGUCAAAUAAAGAGGAUUACAUGGGGCUUCUAAAAUCAAUUAUUCUCCCCCUCUCUUGCCAAGAUAAAUAGGAUAUAAAACAUAGAUACAUCUAGCAUAUGUCCUUUACGGAUAUCCAGAGAAGGUGAAAAUAGGACUAAAUUCAUGUGGAGGAUUUGUUAAAACACAAGGUCUCGUCCGUGGAGGUCGUCUCAGUUCAUCAUCCUGGUUUUGAAGGCAGGAAAUUCACUCUCCUCUUCUGACCAGUGGCUACCUGUAGGAAUAAUGAGGAUACACUAAGAAAUAGGGUUAGGGUUAGCGUUAACCCUAACCCUCUUCUGACCAGUGGCUACCUGUAGGAAUAAUGAGGAUACACUAAGAAUAGAGAAUAAGGAGAUACAUACAUAGAGAGGUGGGGGAGAGACCGGGGAAGGGAGGCACGAGAAGCAGAGCGAUGGAGAGGGACAGGAAGGGAGAGAGACGACGGGAAGCAGAGCGAUGGAGAGGGACAGGAAGGGAGGAGAGAGACAGGAAGGGAGGAGAGAG